UGCUGGUUCACAUCCAACAAAUACCCUGCCGAUUGUGGAUGGUUAUGUUGCUCUUCGUAUAACACAAAUACCGAGUGUGAUGGCCAGGAAGAGGUCAUAAAGCCUGCAUGAGACAGCUGAACCUUGUGGCACUCCACGGGAGUCAAGUGCUCAGCCACUCAUUCCAUCGUGAGCGCAACUGGAACUUCCCAUGAGAAAGGAGCA